rnacentral:tRNA from 1 species
GUCGGGAUAGCUCAGGUGGUAGAGCAGAGGACUGAAAAUCCUCGGGCACCAGUCAAAUAAG